rnacentral:sRNA from 1 species
AUAGUUUUGUUUCAAAAACCCCAAAAAUUGGUUUUUGGUUUUUGAGAAAAAUAAUGUUGAUUGAGUAAAAACUAGAUUUCUUAAAUUUUAGGAAAACUAAAAAACUAAAAUCAUGAAUGAAAAACUCCAACAAAAUU